rnacentral:rRNA from 1 species
GGGGUAACGGGCCUACCAAGGCGAUGAUGCAUAGCCCGAGUUGAGAGACUGAUCGGCCACAUUGGGACUGAGACACGGCCCAAACUCCUGCGGGAGGCAGCAGUAGGGAAUCUUCCACAAUGGACGCAAGUCUGAUGGAGCAACGCCGCGUGAGUGAAGAAGGGUUUCGGCUCGUAAAGCUCUGUUGUUGGUGAAGAAGGACAGGGGGUAGUAACUGACCUUUGUUUGACGGUAAUCAAUUAGAAAGUCACGGGCUAACUACGUGCCAGCAGCCGCGGUAAAU